ACUCCUGUAGCCCAAUUGGAAGAGGCGGCUGUCUCAAAAACAGUCAAUGUGUGAGUUCGACUCUCACCAGGAGUACCA
rnacentral:tRNA from 2 species